UUUACCAUUACUCGCCCAAACAUUUCAUUUGCUAUUUCUGUGGUAGUAAGUUUCUUCAGUCUUCUUGUGAUAAUUAUUGGGAUGCAACUAUUGGAAUCUUGAGGUAUCAGGUAUGUGAAGAAAUUUCCUGGUCAAGAUCUGUUAUAUUAGAAUAAUAGUCAUAAGUAGGUGAUUGGUUAUUCAAAUGCUGCAAAUUAGGCUAGAUCUCCUGAUAAACGUUAUACUUCAGAAAAUAAGAAUUUGGAAGUUGCUGCUAUAUCUAGUGUAAAUAGCUAAAAUUUGUAGAAAUCUCACGGAUAAGGUUGUUUUAUGAUCAGAUUGCUCUUCACAUAACCUCUAACCCAGUUUUUUAUGAUAGAAUUUAACACAAUGACAUUGAUUGUCAUUUUGUAAGAGAAAGAGUGUUUUAUGAAUUAUGAUGUACCAUCAUUAACUACAUUAAUAGUAAAGAUCAGCUAGCCAACAUUCUCACAAAAGUCCCUUGGAGGAUCCUGAGUUGAAUUCAUUUGUACUAGGUUUGGUACUUAUGAUCUAUGUCAAUUUCUUUUAUCACAUUCAAAAAUGGAGGUGUUCCAUACUCAUUUGUCUUAAUUUGUCAUGUUUGUUUCUAAAAUAAACUUUCAUAAUAUAGUAUUUUGUUCUAAAAAAUGAACAGAAUGGUACUAUAUCAUCCUAUUUUAAAUUGUUACCGAAGCAACGCUCAUGAUCUAUAUGGUCCAACUUCAGGAGAAUUGCUGAUGAAUGAAGAAUGUAGUUUGUGGUUUAGCUUCUUGGCGAGCCCUCCGGCGGCUGCCAUCCCCUUGUUAACAGAGGACUACCGCGCCACUCUUUUGUGUUUUGUCUCUUUAAGCACUUAUGUACCAAAAAAAGUAAUGCAUCCAUAAAAUAUUUUAGAUUCUCUUCC
rnacentral:lncRNA from 1 species